rnacentral:rRNA from 1 species
UACGUAGGGACCAAGCGUUGUUCGGAUUUACUGGGCGUAAAGGGCGCGUAGGCGGCGCGGUAAGUCACUUGUGAAAUCUCUGAGCUUAACUCAGAACGGCCAAGUGAUACUGCAGUGCUAGAGUGUGGAAGGGGCAAUCGGAAUUCUUGGUGUAGCGGUGAAAUGCGUAGAUAUCAGGAGGAACACCGGUGGCGAAGGCGGGAUCCUGGGCCAGUACUGACGCUGAGGAGCGAAAGCGUGGGGAGCAAACAGG